rfam:Ipomoea nil DNA, scaffold: scaffold3322, cultivar: Tokyo-kokei standard.
GCCUUCUUAGCUCAGUGGUAGAGCGCAUGGCUUUUAACCACGUGGUUGUUGGUUUGAUCCCCACAGACGUUG